rnacentral:lncRNA from 1 species
AUGUCACAGAUGAGUGUGCAUGUGAAUUUUUUUCAGAGAAUAAACCACCAUAUUUUAUAUUCAUUUGACAUUUUUUGUAGGCUUACCAGCAGGGCCGUGCACAGGGUGGCUAGAGCCACUGAUCCUUUGCCCUCAUCGGCUGAGGUGCCCAUCUCACCAAUCACUCCAGCUCAAAGCUGUCUGUUACCGCUCCGCGAUAGAUCCGCUGAUUCCGCUAAUCCGCUCUGUGUUUCCCGCCCGCUCCGUAGCAUGACUCACAAUCUGUGUGCCGUUCUCUGGAGAGUGGAGACCACAGUUCCCGAAACUCAUUGCAUUACCAGCAGAAACAGGCCUCCAAAGAACAGUGAGAGAAAAAAGAGAAACAUGAACAACUAUAAAGUUUUACAAUACAUCCAGGUAACAACACACAGUUCUCAGUUUAAAAAAGUAUAUUUAUUUAGCUCCUGUUUUUUUUUUCUAUGUAUUUUUCUUUCCUUGUUGCAUUUUCUUUGAAUCUAACUCUUCCCUGGGAUCUUGUUUUCAGCUCCCCUUGAGUGUGCAGGGGUCCUGAUGCCAUACAGGGUAAAAACGUUGUGUUAAGCUGUGGGAUCGUUUCACAGCCACGGUGCUUCUUAUUUACACUCUAUCCAGCACUGCUGUGAGUACAACCGAGCGCAGAAACAAAGCGGAGCUCGACUGGUGCUGGAGUUCAUCCGUCUGCGAGAACAAACAGAAAUUAAAGUAUCCCACGUCUCCAUAUCCUCUGCCCUGGUUUGUGUUGGGCAGCUGCCAACACAGCGAGGGAGAAUAAUACAGUGAAGUAUUUCUUUAAUGUGUAGAGUGUUAACAUUUACUCUCUUUUAACCAUCUCUGGCACACAAGGGAUCCUAAAUGCUGGAAAUACAGAGGUUUUGUUCUUUCCUUCAGGGAAAAUGUAACUUUCUCGAUGAAAGGUUAUCAUCAAAGUUUAAUAUGUUGUGGGUUUUAAAUAUCUUACACAGUUGUGUUUCAUUGGUCCAAAAUCCUACUGCAUUUAACUAUUUGAUAGGUUCUGAUUGGAUGUGAAUGUGCCUAUCAUGUAACACUUUUGUUUUCAUUAUUGGUGUGCAAGUGAUGUAAUGCUACAUUUCUCCAAAUCUGUUCUGAUGAAGAAACAAACUCAUCUAAUGUACAUCUUGGAUGGCCUGAGGGUAGAGAAAUUUUGGUUGCACUUUAUUUUACAGUACGUGUACUUACAUUUACUUAUAGUGUACUUACAGUGUAUUUAUCUAAGAAAGUUCUGGUAAUAUAAGGUAACUACAUGGGGUAGGGUUAGGUUUAGGGGUAGGUUCAGGGUUAGUACCUAGUUAUUACAUAGUUAUUGUAAUUACUAUAAUAAGUACAUAGUAUGUACAUGAGGAACAGGACUGUAAAAUAAAGUGCUACCGAAAUUUUUUAUCAAUGUUUCAUUUUUGGGUGAACUAUUCCUUUAAGUACUACAGUACUAUACUAAAGUUGAAAUCCUGCUCUUAGUCUUUUUCUUUCUUUGGCUUUCACGGAUGUGCCGUCUAUGACAUUAUUGGCUCACGCAUAGAGGGUCGUGUUAUGCAUUAGCAUCAUGCACAUUGAUUCCCAGUGAGCCAAUCACACAUGCUUAUGCACUCAGAUGAAUGCAUCAAGCGCUUAAUUGUUCAUUGGUUGACUGUAAUAAAUGAAGCUUGGCUUAAGGCCACAGCAAGGGUCCAGAAUAACAAUAGCAGGAUUUGCCGCUGGGGAUUGUCAGAUGUUUAGUCUUCUGUUUUGUUUACUGUUUUUAUUAAUUUCUUCUACCAAUGAUGAUUACAGAUGGAACUUAGUAUUUAGUGUCAACCCAAAAUAUUUAAUGCAAUUUGAUUUAUUUAGUACAUAACCAUAAAAGUAAAGGUGCUGUCACAGUAGACUUUGAAUAGACCUCUAUUCACAUCUAUUCAUAUGCAUUCAAAGUGGAAACUUUUUAAAUAACUACACUGUAAAUUUAGUCGUAAAAAAUUUUUUUACAAAAUAAAGUGUAUUGCAUUGUCACAAAAUUAUUUUUCAGCAUAUAUAUUGCACGGUAGGAAAAUUAUUUUUUGAAGUUGAAAAAGGUUACUGGAGAACCAUUUUACAAGAAAAUACUUAAAAAUUCAUUUAUUGACUUCUUGUUUCUUUGUAUUUACUUGUGAAGUUUACUAGCAAUUUCUGAGUGAAACAGUUUCUAAAUCCUAGAAAGAAAAAUACCGCAGUACCUUUUUUUGACUGCAGUAUUUUUACAUACAUAUGAAAAUGACUACAUUAAAUGCAUGACUUAAUGUGAUCUCUUCAGCACGGCAGCAUCUAGCAAAACAUAUAAAUUGAAUGCUAAAUUAACAUUAUAGCUUAUUUGUUGUAUACCAGCUGGUUCACAUUAAAUUGUUAUUUCCCAAACCUACAGGUGAAUCUCAUCUAGAAGUUUAGCUCAGGGUCAUAAAAAUAAUGAAUUCCUGAAUAAACAUGCUUAAAAUUCCAAACUGCAAGUUCUUUUCUAAAAACAUGCCAGUGACAGGUUUAAUAUUAUUGCUCAUAUGGACGUGCACAACAUUCCAAAAGGCCAGAUUGGAUGAACAGCGAUUUCAUGCUGGAUUUCCUUGAAAAUGUGAAUUCCAUGAGGGAGAGCAUGCACGUUUUUGAGACAUAAAGUGUGCGAGUGCGUGACAAGCUGUUUGCUGCAUAUGGGAUCUGGAGAAAUUCAGCAUUACAUCACUUGAUCAUCAGUGGAUCCUCUGCAGUGAAUGGGUGCCGUCAGAAUGAGAGUUUUAAUCUAACACUGUUGUAGUGAAUUGUAGUUCACUAUUAAUUUAGUCUCUUUAAAUCUCAUUCUUACUUCAGCUUAUUCAAAUUCUUGUGCCUUAUUUUGUUACAACAUGUCAGAAUCAAUAGCAUCUGCCAUCAAUAACAUUAAAUCUGAAUGCA